rnacentral:rRNA from 1 species
CCAAUAGCGUAUAUUAAAGUUGUUGCAGUUAAAAAGCUCGUAGUUGAAUUUUGGGUCUGGCCGGGCGGUCCGCCCUCCGGGUGAGCACUGUUCCGACGCCGGGCCUAUCCUUCUGGUGAGUCGGCAUGUCCUUUGUUGGGUGUGUCGGGGAACCAGGACCAUUACCUUGAAAGAAUUAGAGUGUUCAAAGCAGGCGUAUGCUCGGAUACAUUAGCAUGGAAUAAUGAAAUAGGACGCGUGGUGCUAUUUUGUUGGUUUCUAGAACCGCCGUAAUGAUUAAUAGGGAUAGUUGGGGGCAUUAGUAUUCAAUUGUCAGAGGUGAAAUUCUUGGAUUUAUUGAAGACUAACUUCUGCGAAAGCAUUUGCCAAGGAUGUUUUCAUUAAUCAAGAACGAAAGUUAGGGGAUCGAAGACGAUCAGAUACCGUCGUAGUCUUAACCAUAAACUAUGCCGACUAGGAAUCGGGCGAUGUUAUUCUCAUGACUCGCCCGGCGCCUUAUG